rnacentral:rRNA from 1 species
AAAAUCAAUUAUUUCUAAACUUACACAUGCAAGCCUCCACACACCCGUGAAAACGCCCUUUCUUCCACCUAGGAUUAAGGAGCCGAUAUCAGGCACAGUAAAUUGCCCAAAACAUCUAGCCCCGCCACACCCACAAGGGUAUUCAGCAGUGACUAACAUUAAAAAUAAACGCCAGUUUGAUUUAGAUAAAGAAAACAGAGCCGGCCAAUCCCGGUGCCAGCCGCCGCGGGUACACCAAAUGACUCACAUUGAUUUUCUACGGCGUAAAGCGUGAUUAAAGUACACUCUUCCCGGGGUUAAACUCAAACUGAGCGCUAAAAUGCCUGUUCUCAAGAAAACCACCCGAAAGACACCCCGAUUUAACAACUUGA